CCUACGGGGGGCAGCAGUGAGGAAUAUUGGUCAAUGGCCGAGAGGCUGAACCAGCCAAGUCGCGUGAAGGAAGACGGAUCUAUGGUUUGUAAACUUCUUUUAUAGGGGAAUAAAGUGAGUAACGUGUUACUUUUUGUAUGUACCAGAUGAAAAAGCAUCGGCUAACUCCGUGCCAGCAGCCACGGUAAUACGGAGGAUGCGAGCGUUAUCCGGUUUUAUUGGGUUUAAAGGGUGCGGAAGUGGGUAAUUAAGUCAGCCGUGAAAGUUGGUGGCUCAACCAUAAAAUUGCCGUUGAAACUGGAUGACUUGAGUAUAUGUGAGGUAUGCGGAAUGCGUGGUGUAGCGGUGAAAUGCAUAGAUAUCACGCAGAACUCCGAUUGCGAAGGCAGCUUACUAACCUAUAACUGACACUGAUGCACGAAAGCGUGGGGAUCAAACAGGAUUAGAUACCCGGGUAGUC
rnacentral:rRNA from 1 species